GGAAGGAUCAUUGAAUCUAUCAAUACACACACCGCGAACAUCUCUGUCUGGCCUCUUCGAACCUUUACCGGACCUCGAAGGCUUGCCUGCCUCCAUUAAUUUGGGAGCAAGCGAGGGCCCGAAGCUUGCUUCGGGUUGGUCUAUAUCUAACCAUCAACACCUAACCAAAACAAACUAAAGUGAUAAUGCAGUCGGCCUAGCCGCUGCAUCCAAACCAAGACAACUCUCAACAACGGAUAUCUUGGCUCUCGUAACGAUGAAGAACGCAGCGAAAUGCGAUACGUAGUGUGAAUUGCAGAAUUCCGUGAAUCAUCAAAUCUUUGAACGCAUAUUGCACUCGAGGUUUCGGCCAAGAGUAUGUUUGCCUCAGCGUCGGGUUAAUAUCACUCCAACUCAACCUUGGUUGAGCACACGAGUGGACCUGGCUUUCCCAGCUCUGCCAUUGCUCUCCGGAGCAAGGGCGCCAAGGGCUGGGUCAGCUGAAGUCUAGAGGUUAAUGCAGGACCCGUAUGGGCCGCAACUGGUUAGGCUUGCUUCACGCUCGCUCUCUUCUAGUUGUUGGCUUGGAACUUGCGUUCGACCCACAAAAAGGAACCCAACUUAUUUUCUCGACCUGAGCUCAAGCAAGAUUACCCGCUGAACUUAAGCAUAUCAAUAAGCGGAGGAAAAGAAACUAACAAGGAUUCACUUAGUAGCGGCGAGCGAAACGUGAAUAGCCCAACUUGAAAAUCUGCCUUUGCAGAAUUGUAGUCUAGAGAAGCGCCCUCUGCGGCGGUCGGAGCUCAAGUUCGCUGGAAGGCGGCGUCAUAGAGGGUGAGAACCCCGUCGGCUCCUGAUUCGUUGCUCCACGAGGUGCUUUCCAAGAGUCGGGUUGUUUGGGAAUGCAGCCCAAAAUGGGAGGUAAAUCCCUUCUAAGGCUAAAUACUGACGAGAGACCGAUAGCGAACAAGUACCGUGAGGGAAAGAUGAAAAGAACUUUGAAAAGAGAGUUAAAAAGUGCUUGAAAUUGUUGAGAGGGAAGCGCUUGGAAGGUGUAGGUGCGCCUAGGCUUAAGCGGUUUUAACGAGCCGUUGAAUGUGCUAGGUGCUGGUCAACAUGGGUUAGCCUGGCGGGAUAACAGCAGGGGUUGAUACCUUGUCUAUGCCGCCGGGGUGAUCAAGGUGUGAAUGGCGCUUAGUCCUCUGGAACUGCGUCAUCAAGAUGUUGGCAUAAACCUUCCAAUCGGCCCGUCUUGAAACACGGACCAAGGAGUCUAACAUGUAUGCGAGUUGGUGGGUGGUAAACCCAUGAAGCGCAAGUAACCUGACUGGUGGGAGGGCCUGUGCCUGCACCAUCGACCGACCAUGAGCUUCUGCGAAAGGUUUGAGUGCGAGCAUACCUGUUGGGACCCGAAAGAUGGUGAACUAUGCCUGAGCAGGGUGAAGCCAGAGGAAACUCUGGUGGAGGCUCGUAGAUGUGCUGACGUGCAAAUCGCUUUUCGGACUUGGGUAUAGGGGCGAAAGACUAAUCGAACCAUCUAGUAGCUGGUUCCCUC
rnacentral:misc_RNA from 1 species